GGCAGACGGGUGAGUAACACGUGGGAACCGUGCCCUUUGGUUCGGAACAACUCCGGGAAACUGGAGCUAAUACCGGAUAAGCCCUUCGGGGGAAAGAUUUAUCGCCAAAGGAUCGGCCCGCGUCUGAUUAGCUAGUUGGUGAGGUAAUGGCUCACCAAGGCGACGAUCAGUAGCUGGUCUGAGAGGAUGAUCAGCCACACUGGGACUGAGACACGGCCAGACUCCUACGGGAGGCAGCAGUGGGGAAUAUUGGACAAUGGGCGCAAGCCUGAUCCAGCCAUGCCGCGUGAGUGAUGAAGGCCCUAGGGUUGUACAAGCUCUUUUGUCCGGGAAGAUAAUGACUGUACCGGAAGAAUAAGCCCCGGGCUAACUACGUGCCAGCA
rnacentral:rRNA from 1 species